GAAAUGCGAUAAGUAGUGUGAGUUGCAGAAUUCAGUGAAUCAUCGAAUCUUUGAACGCACAUUGCGCCCCUCGGUAUUCCGUGGGGCAUGCCUGUUCGAGCGUCAUCUACACCCUCAAGCUCUGCUUGGUGUUGGGCGUCUGUCCCGCCUCCUUCGCGCGCGGACUCGCCCCAAAUCCAUUGGCGGCGGUCCUUGCCUCCCUCUCGCGCAGCACAUUGCGCUUCUCGAGGCGCGGCGGACCGCGUCCAGCAAGCAACCGUCACACCGUCUUUGACCUCGGAUCAGGUAGGGAUACCCGCUGAACUUAAGC
rnacentral:misc_RNA from 1 species